GGGCCUGUAGUAUAGUGGAUAGUACAAUCGGCUUCGGACCGGUUAACCGGGGUUCGAAUCCCUGCAGGCCCA
rnacentral:tRNA from 1 species